rnacentral:rRNA from 2 species
AAGUCGUAACAAGGUUUCCGUAGGUGAACCUGCGGAAGGAUCAUUACAGUAGUCACCCAGGUUGCCGCAAGGCCUCCUGGGUAACCUACCACCCUUUGUUUAUUACACUUUGUUGCUUUGGCAAGCCUGCCCUCGGGCUGCUGGCUCCGGCCGGCGAGCGCUUGCCAGAGGACCUAAACUCUGUUUGUCUAUACUGUCUGAGUACUAUAUAAUAGUUAAAACUUUCAACAACGGAUCUCUUGGUUCUGGCAUCGAUGAAGAACGCAGCGAAAUGCGAUAAGUAAUGUGAAUUGCAGAAUUCAGUGAAUCAUCGAAUCUUUGAACGCACAUUGCGCCCCCUGGUAUUCCGGGGGGCAUGCCUGUCCGAGCGUCAUUACAACCCUCAAGCUCAGCUUGGUAUUGGGCCCCGCCGACCCGGCGGGCCCUAAAGUCAGUGGCGGUGCCGUCCGGCUCCGAGCGUAGUAAUUCUUCUCGCUCUGGAGGUCCGGUCGUGUGCUCGCCAGCAACCCCCAAUUUUUUUCAGGUUGACCUCGGAUCAGGUAGGGAUACCCGCUGAACUUAA